GGUAGGAUGGCUGAGAACAAGCGGUGGACUGUAGAUCCACAGACAGAGGUUUGAGCCCUCUUCUUAUCA
rnacentral:tRNA from 1 species